AUGGUCACCAGUCUCCUAAGCUGUGUGGUCCUUUAUCUCCUAGGAACAGGCUCCGCAGAGGCUCAAGUCACCCAGACUCCAAGAUAUCUCAUCACAGAGACUGGGAAGAAGUUGAUAAUAAAUUGCUCUCAGAAUAUGAAUCAUGACUCUAUGUUCUGGUAUAGACAAGACUUAGGUCUGGGUCUGAAGCUGAUUUAUUACUCAAUUAAUGUUGAUAUUAUUGAUAAAGGAGAAGUCUCUGAUGGGUAUAUUGUCUCUAGAAAAGAAAAAUCAACUUUUCCUCUGACACUGGAAUCUACCAUAAUCAGCCAGACCUCCUUGUACUUCUGUGCCAGCAGCGAACACAGCACUGCACAGCCAGCUGUUCUCUGA